rnacentral:rRNA from 1 species
GACGAACGCUGGCGGCGCGCUUAACACAUGCAAGUCGAACGGAAAGGCCUGCUUUCCCUUGUGGAUUGCGGGUACUCGAGUGGCGAACGGGUGAGUAACACGUGAGUUAUCUGCCCCCAACUUGGGUAUAAGCCUGGGAAACUGGGUCUAAUUCCCGAUAGGACUGCAGGGUGGUGCCUGUGGUGGAACACGAUUUUCUAGUGGUUGGGGAUGAGCUCGCGGCCUAUCAGCUUGUUGGUGGGGUAAUGGCCUACCAAGGCGGCGACGGGUAGCCGGCCUGAGAGGGUGGACGGUCACAUUGGGACUGGGAUACGGCCCAGACGCCUACGGGAGGCAGCAGUGGGGAAUCUUGGACAAUGAGCGGGAGCCUGAUGCAGCGACGCCGCGUGGGAGAUGACGGCCUUCGGGUUGUAAACUCCUUUCGACCGCGAGGAAGCCACCUGGUUGGAAGGGUGGUGACGGUAGUGGUAGAAGAAGCACCGGCUAACUACGUG